GAAUAACAUAUUCUCACUAAUCCAAUGCAUGGAAGGCCAAUAAAAUUAUUGAGUAAGGCUCUUAUAAGUUUGCAAUGUGCCCGAAUGCCCAAUGAAUGGAGAGUUAUGGAAUUCCUACAAAAAUUAAUAGCUUAAUGAUGUGAGACUUGGGAGGUUUUACUACCAGUUCUUAUAACAUAUCAGCCCUCCACUCCAGGAGUGUGGCAUUUUGAUGAAAUGCUUCUCCAUGAAGAAGAAGAAGAAGAAAAAGAAGCUGUUGCAUGACAUGGGUUUGUUUGUAUGAGUGUCGAAUGUCAAUGUUUUGUUUCCUACUGUACUUUGUAGACAGUUUCUAGUAAGGGCUUGGACAAAGUUUCUACAAUAAUUUUGAUCCUGAUAUUGAAUGUAAAUUCUUUGCCAGCAUGCAGAAGUUAUGGUAUUAGUUUCUUAAUUAAUAUUGUUUCUUCA